AUUGAACGCUGGCGGCAGGCCUAACACAUGCAAGUCGAGCGGAGCGGCGGACGGGUGAGUAAUGCCUAGGAAUCUGCCUGGUAGUGGGGGAUAACGUACGGAAACGGGCGCUAAUACUGCAUACUAUCAGAUGAGCCUAGGUCGGAUUAGCUAGUAGGUGGGGUAAAGGCCUACCAAGGCGACGAUCCGUAACGGGUCUGAGAGGAUGAGCAGUCACACUGGAACUGUGACACGGUCCAUACUCCUACGGUAGGCAGCAGUGGGGAAUAUUGGACAAUGGGCGAAAUCCUGAUCCAGCCAUGCCGCGUGUGUGAAGAAGGUCUUCGGAUUGUAAACUACUUUAAGUUGGGAGGCGUUACCAACAGAAUAAGCACCGGCUAACUUCGUGCCAGCAGCCGCGGUAAUUC
rnacentral:rRNA from 1 species